rnacentral:rRNA from 1 species
AAUCAACGCUGGCGGCGUGCCCAACACAUGCAAGUCGAACGCGAAAGCCCCUUCGGGGGCAAGUAGAGUGGCGUCCGGGUGAGUAACACGUAGGUAAUCUACCUUCGGGUGGGGAAUAACCCGCCGAAAGGCGGGCUAAUACCGCAUAAUGCAGCGGCACCUAAUGGUGAUUAGUUGUUAAAGCGGGGGACCCUUCGGGGCCUCGCGCCUGAAGAGGAGCCUGCGGCAGAUUAGCUAGUUGGUGAGGUAAUGGCUCACCAAGGCUUCGAUCUGUAGCUGGUCUGAGAGGACGGCCAGCCACACUGGCACUGACACACGGGCCAGACUCCUACGGGAGGCAGCAGUGGGGAAUUUUGGGCAAUGGGCGAAAGCCUGACCCAGCAACGCCGCGUGAGGGAGGAAAUCCUUCGGGAUGUAAACCUCACAAGCAAGGGAAGAGCGCCACGGGGCGAAUAACCCCGCGGUCCGACGGUACCUUGCGUAAGCCACGGCUAACUACGUGCCAGCAGCCGCGGUAAUAC